ensembl:piRNA 21ur-9992 ncRNA
UUUUAGGCUGAAUUGUAAUAU